UGGCCCCUAGUGUAAUGGUAGCACGACAGACUCUGGAUCUGUUGGUCGGGGUUCAAAUCCUCGGGGGCCAG
rnacentral:tRNA from 1 species